AUGAAGGAAAGAGGUGAAAAAAAAGAGAGGAAAGAAAAACAAAACGAGAGAGAAAAAGAAAAACAAACGAGAUAAUAAGAAACCAAACGAAAGAAACAUCGGCAAAAAAAGAGGGAACGAGAGAAUAAAAACAAAGAGAAAAUGCAGAAAUAGAGAGAAGAAAGAAAGGAAAAGAAAAAGUUGCAAUCAGAAAUAAGGAAGCCGGGAUGACGCAGGCAGUCGAGCAAAUGCAUAAUAGAAUCCAUUAACUGCUUAGGUGCAUUCAUUCUCCAACGCGCGGUCAUCAAAUCUGCUAAUGCCCUAACCAUUAACCAAGCUAUUGUUGAUGUUGAUUGCAGACAGGUAGUUAGUUGUUUGGCAUUCUGGCAACCCAUUCCUACAACACCUGAUCAAAAGACAAGCUAAUGACAGGUCAGGAAUCCAAUACCAGUAUUGUGGACCCGACAGAAGAGGUAGAGGCGAUGAAUGUUAAUGCAAUGAGGGAAGAAAUGUAUAAGUUGAGGCACUAAUUGGCUGAAAUGCAUCAGGCUUGGUCUAAGGGUCAGCCGGAGCCAGUUUAUCCCGCCAAUCCAGCUUACAUCCCACCUUUGGCUCAGUCUUAGGAGCCUCCUACUGUGAAUUCAUCUCCGGAUUUUCUUUCUACCAACAGGGAUAUGGCACCAUCUCAUACCCUCUCCAAGCUCCACCACCCAAACUAAGCCCUCAUCCACCGAUCACCCAUGUCUUUGUGGCACCUCCACUUGCCACACUACAAAGAUCCUCUAGUGAGCCACUGUUUCAAACACACGAUAGCUAGUACUAUCCUUCUGAGCCUACUUUUAAAGCUCUUUAGCCAUAUUAUUACACCCCUCACUUUGAGCUCCUUGUGGAAACUGAAAAGCCGCUUAAGAACCCGAAGCAGGAAGAGUUGUGUCGAAAAGUAAAAAACCUGGAGCAAUCCUUCAGGAACAUGCAAGGGUUGGGUGGCCAAGUUAGUGUGGCCUAUAAGGAUUUGUGUCUAUUCCCGAUGUUCAGUUUCCAGCAGGGUUCAAAAUGCUAAGGUUCGAUCUAUAUGACAGGCAUGGUGACCCGGUAGCCCACCUAAGGUGAUUCUGCAGCAAAAUGAGAGGGAGAGUGGAAAAGACGAGUUACUGAUGGCGUACUUCAGCCAGAGUCUGAGUGGGUCUCCUUUGGAGUGGCAUACACGACAGGACCAUGGUAGGUGGUAUAUCUGGGAUGAUUUGGCACAAGCAUUCGCCCGCCAUUUUCAGUACAAUCUAGAAAUUGUUCCAGAUCGCCUGUCACAUAUAAAACUUUAGAAGAAGCCCAGGGAGAUCUUCAGAGAUUAUGGGUUCUGCUCAAGAGAACAUGCUUCGAGGGUUGACCCUCCGAUGAAAGAUAGCAAGAUGGUCGCAUACUUUUUACUGGCGUUGAAGCCGACUUAUUUUGGGCACUUGGUAACGAUAAUUGGUAAAUCUUUUAAUAAAGUUGUGAAUAUAGGAGGAAUGGUCAAGGAAGGACUUACAACCAAAAAAAUCUUGAGCUAUUCAGAGAUCAAAGCCACCACCAAGGCCAUCCAAAGCGGCACUGGGGGUGUGCUCGGGAAAAAGAAAAAGGAAGAGGUUGUAACUGUUGAGUUUGGAGCUUGGCCCAGAUCUAGAGGCCCUUCACCCUACUACCAACCCCGACUCCACCACCCAAACUAUCCCUACACUCCAUAUAUCCCGCCACAACACUAUUACUCAAUACCAUAUCCAUAUUUCUCCGUCUACCAUGCUCAAACUUAUACCCAACCUUCGUCUCAUGCGCAAUGGCGUGCAUCUCGGCUGCUCAAGAAGUUUGACUAGUUGCUCCUCCAACCCGGAGUGGAUUCCAGGGCAUGGGCAUACCCUCACCAAGGACCCUACAGAAAUUCCCCGAGAAUAGGUUUCUGGCAAAACCAAGAUUUCAAGAAUGAGAGGGAAUAGAAACAAAAUACAUUCACUCUACUGGGAGAAUCAUAUACAACCUUUUUCAUAAAUUGAGGUAGCUAGGCCUGUUGAAUCCAAUUGAGCCCUAAAUGCCAAAUUUCUUUCCUAGAAAUCUUGACCAUUCUGUAAGUUGUGAAUACUAUUCGGGGGCCCCAGACAUGAUACAGAAAAGUGUUGGAAGCUGAAGACCAUUGUGCAAGAGCUCAUUGAAACUCACCGAAUUAAAGUUCAGGCCCCGGAGGCACCAAAAAUUAACUGGAAUCCAUUGAUGGUUCACCAUGAACCUCACAUAAUUGUAUUGAUAUGAAAGGGAGGGGAUCCCAAGAAACCCUCUCAAACUGUAAUGAUGAUCCACGCUAGCGAAACCAGUUCAAAAGAAAAAUCAACCAGUAAGAAGGCAGUGGUUCAGUUGGAAGGGGUGAACAGUAAGCCAGCUGUGGUGGUCGGAGAAGGGUCAAGCAAGGCAAAUGUGCGGUCCGUCGAACCACGUGCAAAAACCAACAAUUGGGAAGCUACUCCUCUUCUUACUCGGAGGGAGUAUUGGUAGUUGAUAGUGGGUUUGGAUCUUCUUUUGUUAUCUGGAUUAUUCCAGGGUUUGUAAUUCAAAUGUUAUGUUUCGUCCAAUUAGAUGUGUUACAGCCCUGUUAUCUUCAAUGAAAUGCAAUUUUCUUUCUUCAUUCCUAAUUCUGUUUCAGUUUUCUUUCCUUCUCUAUACAGGUUUUUCUAUGUUGAUAUCAAUGACAUGAUAUGCAUGAGGAAUCCUCGGCUCAUUCCUAAACUGGUCUAAUUCUGAAGUAAUAAUACAAGAAAUUGAGUGUGAUAAUGAAUUGGAACAUGAUGAUGAGGAAUGGGUGAAAACCCUCUUGGAACAAUAGAGCUUAAUCGAUGAGAAAAUAUUAACAUCAGGGUGUCAUGGCCAAUUGUAUCAACAAAGAAUGAAAAGAGCGUACAACAAGAAAGUGUGUCCGAGGAAGUUUAAGGUGGGACAAUUAGUGCUGAGAUGUAGUUUUCCUCAUUGGGCUGAAGCAAAAGGAAAGUUCGCCCCAAACUUGCAGGGGCCAUUUGUUGUAACAAGAGUAUUGUCUAAUGGCGUAUUAUAUCUAGAAUAUAUGGAAGAAACAUAUGUAGAAAUGGCCAUCAAUUUUGAUGUGGUCAAGAGAUACAAUGUAUGAUUUCUUUAUUUGAUUGUACUUGUUUGUAUUUGGCAUAUUUUGAAGAUUGAAAUGACAAAGGCGUUUUAUUCUGCUAUCUAAACACUUUAUCCCUUGUCAUACCUUUUGAGCCUUAUUUAUUUUCUUUCAUAACCCUAUUUCGGAAUCAAUGAUAUAAUUCAAAAACGCAAGUGCGGAAGAUAAGAAAGUGAAAAUAAAAAGAAGGAAGAAAAAGAAAAGAAAAAAAGAAGAAAAAUGAAAAGUGAAGAAAAGAAAGAAAAGAAAAGAAAAGAAAAGAAGAAGAAAAAUGAAAAGUGAAGAAAAGAAAAAAAGAAGAAAACAAAUGAAAAGAAAAAUGAAAAAGAAAGGAAAAGAAGAACAGAAAAACAGAAAAGAAAAGAAGAGAAAGAAAAUCACCACAACAUAGUUUCUAUGAUGUGAAAUACGUUUGACUUGAUCCCGAAAUGAUACGUACGCAACCUCCAUUUGAGGUUCAGUCGUACCAAAACAAAACUCCAAAAUUUCCAAGCAAGAAACUGGGGCAGAAGUUGUGGUUGUUGUGAGAAAUCGGAUUUUGAAAGCUGUAGUUUUAACCCAUUUUGAACUGUAUUUGAGCCUUUUAUACCCUUCUUUUCCAACCCAUCAAAAAGCUCACGUUACGGUCCAAACAAAGUCCUUCUGAUCAGCAUUUGAGAAAUGCAAAGGCAAGCAGGUAAAGGUAAUUCAUGACGGGGGCAAUGCUCUGGUUCAAGCAAGAAAGAUAAAAAUGAGAGAGUCUUAUUGGUGAAAACCCUCAUGGGCACCGUACGGAGACGGGAGCUGAGAGAAAUAAAAAUGAGAGAUUCUUAUUGGUGAAAACCUUCAUUGGCACCGUAAUGAGUUGAGAAAAUAGAAAUAAGAGAGUCUUAUCGGUAAAAACCCUCACUGGCACCUUAAGGCGAAAGUGAGUUAAGAUCAAACAAAAUGAGAGAGGUCUGUUGGUGAAAAACAGCUUCGAGACACCAAAAUAUGAACAAGGUCAAGGUUUGGGUAAAGUGAUCAAAUUGUAGAAAUUCCGAUGCAAUAAGGUAUGGCAAGUGGAAGUUGAUUGGUUGAAAAAAUUGGACAGAUUAGUCCGAAAUGCAUGUCAUGACAAUUGGUACUAGCUGUUUCGGUCAAAUAAGUUCUUUUCCUUUUCUUUGUAGAAGUCAUUCGGUUUUGGAUUCUUCGUAUCUUUAACUCGUAAAAUGAUUGCAUUUCAUUUUUAGUCUUGUUCAAAGCAAGUGGAAAAGGAUUUCAAAUCUCACUACCAAUUUCCAAAAGUGCAAAUCCCAGCGUGGUCGGAGCAUGUCCAAAACAACAUGAUGUAAGGUGGAAUACGAAUCAUCAGAAAUUUCAUUGGUUGAAUGAUUGGGUAAUGUCAUGGGAAAUGCAAAGGUUAAAUAAAGGGGUCAGAGGUGCCAAACAACAACAUGGGUACAGAACCCUCGGGUUGUCAAAGGUCAGGGGAUUUGAAAGUCAGUCAGAAAGUUAAGCGGUUCAGGGCCAGUUCGGGGAAGCUGGUCAAAACAAAGCAAUGCAGCGGAAGGAUUUUCAGCAAGAAUGCCAUCAACUAACCACCAUUUUAAACUUACAAAUUUUUUUGGUUGAAACAGGGGCAAAAAAGUCGGUUGUUCCGGAGGAACUCUCCAUAAGGGAAAAACAAGUAGUAAUCAGGUUUGACCGCAAAAUGUGGUUUGAUUAAGACACAAGAUAGUCAUGAAUAACAUAGGGGAAUGUAAGUUGGUUUCAAGGUUUACAUGUUUAGGAUAAAAUUCAAGUAGGAGUUGUCAAGACCUUCCUGGAUAAUUGGAUGUAGAUAACAUGAUGUAGUAAGAAUGAUAACUUUAAAAGAUAUAACUUAGGUUUGUAAUUGUUAGGAGUUGUUAGGACCUCCCCUAGAUAAUAGGACUUAGAUUUCAAACUCUUAGUAAUAGUUGUUCUAGUGACUUAGUUAACACUCACCCGUGUACCCAGUUUCCAAACUGGGAAGAAAAUUUUCCUUUUUUUGUCUAUUUUGUGAAGUUAGGAGCCCGCCUGGAUAACGGAGGAAUGCAUUUAAAGUUUGAAGCCGCGAGCCCGCCCGUAUAACAGAGAAAUACAUUUUUCAGUUUUGAAGUUGGGAGCCUGCCCGUAGAACAGAGGCAUACAUUUAUGUUUUGAAGUCUGGAGCCCGCCUAGAGAACAGAGGUAUUACACUUCAAGUUUUUGUUUUCAAAUCUUAUUAAUAUCCGGUAACAAGUACCCAGUUUCCAAACUGGGGCAGAAAGUUUUCUUUGUUUUGUCUAUUUUGUGAAAUCAGGAGCCCGCAUGGAUAACAGAGGAAUACUUUCAAGUUUUGAAGUCGGAAGCCCGCCCGUACAACAGAGGAAUACAUUUCAAGCUUUGAAGUCAGGAGACCUCCUGGAGAAGAGAGGUAAUGCAAGUUUAUGUUUUCAAAAUCUUAUUAAUAUCCAGUAACAUGUACCAAGUUUCCAAACUGGGGUAGAAAGUUUUCUUUGUUUUGUCUAUUUUGUGAAGUCAGGAGUCCGCCUGGAUAAUAGAGGAAUGCAUUUCAAGUUUUGAAGUCGGGAGCCCGUCCGAAGAACACAGGAAUAAUUUCCAUGUUUUGAAGUUAGGAGCCCACUUGGAGAUAAGAGGUAUUACAAUUCGAGUUUUAGAUUUCAAGUUAUUAUUGAUAUCCGGUAACAUGUACCUAGUUUCCAAACUGAGGCAGGAAGUUUUCUUUGUUUUGUCUAUUUUGUGAAGUCAGGAGCCCGUCUGGAUAACAAAGGAAUAAAUUUAAGUUUUGAAGUCGGGAGCCUGCCUAUAUAACAGAGAAAUACAUUUUCAAGUUUCGAAGUCAGGAGCCCACCUGGAGAACAGAGGUAUUACAAUUCAAGUUUUAGCUUCCAAAAUCUUAUUAAUAUCUUGUAACGUGACGCCCAACCACCAAACUGGGAGAGAAAGUUUUCUUUGUUUUGUCUACUUUGUGAAGUCAGGAGCCCUCCUGGAUAACAAAGGAAUACAGUCAAGUUUAGCAGUCAAGAGCCUGCCUGGAUAACAGAGGAAUAUAUUUCAAGUUUAGCAGUCGGGAGCCCGCUUGCAUAACAGAGGAAUACAUUCAAGUUCAGCAUUCGGGAGCCAGCCCGUACAAUAGAGGAAUACACUCAGGUUUAGUAGUUCGAAGCCCGCCCAUAACACUGAGGAAUACAUUCAAGUUCAGCCAUGAUAACAACAUGAUAGGGGAUUCAAUAAUUACUAAAGAAAAAUAAGAAAAUCAAGAAACGUGCGGAAGCUAAAAGAAAAUAAAGAAACGAAAAAAGACGGAAAAUUAAAGAUAGAUUGAAUUUACAUUCAAGUUCAGCCAUGAUAACAACAUGAUAGGGGAUUCAAUAAUUACUAAAGAAAAAUAAGAAAAUCAAGAAACGUGCGGAAGCUAAAAGAAAAUAAAGAAACGAAAAAAAGACGGAAAAUUAAGGAUAGAUUGAUUUCAAGAAAGAGUUUAUUGAAUUCAAGAAGUAUAUUCUUAAAUUUGAAUCCUAACAACAACAAUUAGCUAAAAUAGAACUAAUCGCCUUUGGUAGAGAAUUAAAAUAAGAGAUAGACUGUGAAACCCGACAGGCCAUCCUUGGCUGGUGCUUGGACCCCAAUCAACCUCCUCUUGGGCUUGGACUUGGACCAUGAAAUGAGUGUAGCACUUAGCUAAAUCCUCUCCGUAAUAUUUGAGAUCUUGUUCCACCAUUAGCGCCUUCUUGAUCUCCCAUUGAAGCUCAACAACCUUGUCUUGCUUCUCCUUAGCUUGAGACCUUGUAAAUGGCUUUCUUGGUACUUCUACAGCUUUAUCCUUGUCCAUGAAGCUAUCAAGACAUCGGGAGACUGCCCGUAUAACAGAGGAAAUACAUAUCAGGUUCAGUAGUCUGAAGAAAAGGAAAAACAUAUCAGUUUACAAUUCAAAGUGGCAACAAUAGAUUUCACCAAGAGAAUACAAGGCAACAAGAAAUACAAUAUCAAGUUUGAAGAAUCUAGAUAGGAUUUUUGCAAUUCGUAGAUCAUAGUUUAGGCUAGCUUCUUGUUAUUUUGACACAUUUUAAUAAGGGAGGUCAGCAAGCAGUAGUAGCGGCAACAAUAGUGAAGUCAGAGCUCCUGGUAGUCCCAGCUAUCGACACCCCCAAACUACACUGACCUAAUUCCUUUUUAGCCAAUGAUAUGUAGGCAACCUCCGAAGCAGAGUGCGGUGAACUCUUUCAAAAAUGCUUUACACGGAGUAUUCGAACGGGCAAAAAUCUCUCGUAUCUGCUCACUUAUCUUUGUACGCAAAGUAUUCAUGUUUCCGAGCAAAGAGGGGCAACUGUGAGCACGUGAGUUUUUCCCUAUAUGAGUUAUUCCCAGAAAUUCAAACAAAAUGAUUUCUUUCAUUAUUUUAUAACUUUAUGGAUUUUUAUGACGUUUUGUGUUAAUUUUUUGUAUUUUUGUUUGCACAUUUUAAUAAAUGAAAAUAUAAAAAAUAUAUUUGGCAUUUGCAUUUAGGAUUUAGUCUCCUAUUUUAGGAUUAAUUAGUAAUUAAAUUACUUUACAAAGAAGAAUAUAACAAAAAUAUUUUAUUUUGUAUUUUUAAUUAUUAAUUAUUGAAUUUGUCAUGAGUUUACUUUUAAAUUAGGACUUAACCAAUUUUUAGGAAUUAACUAGUUUAGUUUUGGGAAUUAAAUAAGAGUUUUACUUUAAUUUUGACUUUUACAAAACUUAAAAUUAAUAAUGAUAAAAUAAAAAUAAAAAAAGGGAAAGGUGGUGUUUAAGUUGAUCUUGGGCCAGUUAUGAAGUAAAUGCUGAGCCCAAAUUUGUUACCUUCCCAAACCGGUAUGCCUAUCGCAAACCCAUUCCCCAACCUGGUCGCUCCCCCAAAUGAAACGAUGUUUGUCAUAAAAAUAAUCCCAGCCUUCGAGGAUCAUAGUAUAUCAAUGUCGGAGACUCCCCAACGCCUCUAGGUCCGUAUCGUUCACUUCCUCAUAACACUAUUUCAGAGCUCACCGUCUUCCGCAGGCCGGAAAUUACCUCUGCCGGUGACAACUCUCCAAACCGCCCCAAAUUUACACCUUACCUUCCUCUCCUCCUCCACAUCCACAUUCUAUAAUCAAUUUCCCUCGAAUCCCACCCAGACCGGUCGAAUCUUCAACCAAAGAUUCCGGUCAAAACCCAAAGUUACCCAAUCCAUACCAAAUUCACACCCUAGAACCGCCUCAUUCUCCUCUUUCCAAACCCCCGAAACCCCAUCCCUCGAAUCCCCGCCGAACUCCUCGAAUCCACGCCAAACUCCUCGAAUCUCCGAUCAAAAUUUCGGCCAAAACCCUAAAUUCUCCAAACCCCACCAAAUUGAUACCACGUGACCUCCCCACUUACUUCAUGAUGAAUUUCUAACCAGUAACACUCGAAUAUCGCGGAAGAUGGUCGAAUUUUGAAUCUGAGAAGUGGCAUGACUGUAGAAGUUAAACCAGUGAGGUUUUUUUUUUUAAUUUUGUGUUUCCUCUCAGGACUGUGUUACAUUAGUUAAAUAAUUCCAUUUUGUUAUAAGUUCAAGUAAUUAAUUUAGGUUUUGUUUACAUUUUUGAAUCAGUAAUGUGUUCUGCACUAUUGAUGUGAUUCAGUAGCAUGGUUUAUUUGUUAUGCUUGAUUUCUCUUAAGCAUAUUUUCUGUUGUUAAUCCGUAGUUGGUAUUUUAGGUUUGGAUUUGUAAUUAGUUUAAAUUUGAUUAGUUUUUACUUGUUUGGAUUUUCUUGUGUUGCCUAGUUUCAUACUGAUUUUAUUAUGGUUAAUUGAUUAGUUGGUUUGAUUGUUAAUGAUAAUUGUAAUUUGAAAUUCAGUAGUUAGUUUAGAUUUAAGAUUUUGGUUUGAACCUUGUUUUAGCUAAUUUAAUUGUUGAAUAGUUGCUUAACCAUGGUAAGGUGAAACUAAGGGGUUGCGUUUAAUUGAUAUAGAUCAGUAAUUUCAGACAAAUAAAUCGGUAGUUCAGGGAAUCAUAUUUAAGGAAUCUAGCAAUAACUGAAAUAGAACUUCCUAGAAGCUUUUAGAUGGGGGUUCUAAGGCAAAAAUUAGGAAUUAAGGGUAUUAACUUGAGAAACAAGUCAGAAAGUUAGGGACUAGUUAGUUAAAAUCUGAAACUAAAAGAGGGACUAAAAGAAAAAUAGGAAAAUCUGAGGGCUACCCUCAUUUUGCCUAUAAAAAGGCAUGACUAGUGCCUUAGUGAACAACGAUCAUAUCAUUCUAUAAAAAAAAUCUAUAUGUAUAGAGAGAUCCCCUAGAUAUACAGAUAGAAUAGAUGUUCAUGGAUAGACAGACAUUCCAUUGAUUCUUUGUUUUUGGGCUGAAAAAGCUCGUCGAUCCAAAUGAAUCAUUCUUCUGGUCUCUCUUCGCUCCCCACCCCGAAACUGACCCACGGCACAGCGCCCAUUCGCUUCGCGCGCGGGAAGGCAACGAAGUUCAGUUCAUGAGACCGCAGCGCAGCGGAGUGGAGCAGCCGCGACACGAAGUUCCUUACCUUAGCUGGAUCUCGCUGGUGCCACCUAAACGGUAGGUAGGCGGCGGAUGUGUGACGUUUGGAGUUGUCGUUCGUGCACCUGUCCCCAAUGGAAGAAUGAGUGAUCUGUUCCCCUGCGGAUCAUGGCCUUACCACUCGGUCCCCGAUGGCCAGCGGGGGAUUCGGUAUAGCAGCUCAGGUUCGUUUGCGCUGCGCGUUCCCGCUGGACUGGACACAUGUUAGCUGUAGGAAGUAUGGUUCCGAAAGUGACUUCGGUUCGCCAGUUCAGGCUCAA
rnacentral:lncRNA from 1 species